rnacentral:rRNA from 1 species
UACGUAGGGUGCAGGCGUUAAUCGGAAUUACUGGGCGUAAAGCGUGCGCAGGCGGUUUCUUAAGUCGGAUGUGAAAUCCCCAGGCUUAACCUGGGAACUGCAUCCGAUACUGGAUGGCUUGAAUCCGGGAGAGGGAUGCGGAAUUCCAGGUGUAGCGGUGAAAUGCGUAGAUAUCUGGAGGAACACCGGUGGCGAAGGCGGCAUCCUGGACCGGCAUUGACGCUGAGGAGCGAAAGCCAGGGGAGCAAACGGG